GGAGCGAUCGCCAUCGGCAAGGCAAGCUGUUUGCUAAACAGUCGUAGCGGCCAUCCCGCUACUACAGGUUCGACUCCUGUUCGCUCCGCCA
rnacentral:tRNA from 1 species